rnacentral:rRNA from 1 species
GGAAGGAUCAUUACCGAAUUGUCAACAAGAGUUGUUGCUGGCCCCUGUACGGGGGCAUGUGCACGCUCUGUUUACACAUCCACUCACACCUGUGCACCCUCUGUAGUUCUAUGGCCUGGGGGGCUCUGUCCUCCUGUGCUGUGGUUCUACGUCUUUACACACACACUGUAAUAAAGUCUUAUGGAAUGUACGUCGCGUUUAACGCAAUGAAAUACAACUUUCAGCAACGGAUCUCUUGGCUCUCGCAUCGAUGAAGAACGCAGCGAAAUGCGAUAAGUAAUGUGAAUUGCAGAAUUCAGUGAAUCAUCGAAUCUUUGAACGCACCUUGCGCCCUUUGGCUAUUCCGAAGGGCAUGCCUGUUUGAGUAUCAUGAACACCUCAACUCUCACGGCUUGCCUGUGAUGAGCUUGGACUUUGGGGGUCUUGCUGGCCUGUGGUCGGCUCCUCUCGAAUAAAUUAGCUCGCCGGUGUUUGGUGGGGUCACAGGUGUGAUAACUAUCUACGCUUGCGGUUUUCCACCGGGUAACCUUCAGCAAUGGAGGUUCACCGGAGCUUACAAAUGUCUCUCCUCAGUGAAGACAGAUUUUGACCGUUUGAUCUCAAAUCAGGUAGGACUACCCGCUGAACUUAAGCAUAUCAAUAAGCGGAGGAA